rnacentral:rRNA from 1 species
GAUGAACGCUGGCGGCGUGCCUAAUACAUGCAAGUCGAGCGAACGGACGAGAAGCUUGCUUCUCUGAUGUUAGCGGCGGACGGGUGAGUAGCACGUGGAUAACCUACCUAUAAGACUGGGAUAACUUCGGGAAACCGGAGCUAAUACCGGAUAAUAUUUUGAACCGCAUGGUUCAAAAGUGAAAGACGGUCUUGCUGUCACUUAUAGAUGGAUCCGCGCUGCAUUAGCUAGUUGGUAAGGUAACGGCUUACCAAGGCAACGAUGCAUAGCCGACCUGAGAGGGUGAUCGGCCACACUGGAACUGAGACACGGUCCAGACUCCUACGGGAGGCAGCAGUAGGGAAUCUUCCGCAAUGGGCGAAAGCCUGACGGAGCAACGCCGCGUGAGUGAUGAAGGUCUUCGGAUCGUAAAACUCUGUUAUUAGGGAAGAACAUAUGUGUAAGUAACUGUGCACAUCUUGACGGUACCUAAUCAGAAAGCCACGGCUAACUACGUGCCAGCAGCCGCGGUAAUACGUAGGUGGCAAGCGUUAUCCGGAAUUAUUGGGCGUAAAGCGCGCGUAGGCGGUUUUUUAAGUCUGAUGUGAAAGCCCACGGCUCAACCGUGGAGGGUCAUUGGAAACUGGAAAACUUGAGUGCAGAAGAGGAAAGUGGAAUUCCAUGUGUAGCGGUGAAAUGCGCAGAGAUAUGGAGGAACACCAGUGGCGAAGGCGACUUUCUGGUCUGUAACUGACGCUGAUGUGCGAAAGCGUGGGGAUCAAACAGGAUUAGAUACCCUGGUACCCCACGCCGUAAACGAUGAGUGCUAAGUGUUAGGGGGUUUCCGCCCCUUAGUGCUGCAGCUAACGCAUUAAGCACUCCGCCUGGGGAGUACGACCGCAAGGGUUGAAACUCAAAGGAAUUGACGGGGACCCGCACAAGCGGUGGAGCAUGUGGUUUAAUUCGAAGCAACGCGAAGAACCUUACCAAAUCUUGACAUCUUUUGACAACUCUAGAGAUAGAGCCUUCCCCUUCGGGGGACAAAGUGACAGGUGGUGCAUGGUUGUCGUCAGCUCGUGUCGUGAGAUGUUGGGUUAAGUCCCGCAACGAGCGCAACCCUUAAGCUUAGUUGCCAUCAUUAAGUUGGGCACUCUAAGUUGACUGCCGGUGACAAACCGGAGGAAGGUGGGGAUGACGUCAAAUCAUCAUGCCCCUUAUGAUUUGGGCUACACACGUGCUACAAUGGACAAUACAAAGGGCAGCGAAACCGCGAGGUCAAGCAAACCUCAUAAAGUUGUUCUCAGCUCGGAUUGUAGUCUGCAACUCGACUACAUGAAGCUGGAAUCACUAGUAACCGUACAUCAACAUGCUACGGUGAAUUACGUCCCCCGGUCU